rnacentral:rRNA from 1 species
CCACCUCCUUCGUUGGAAGCCUGCGUUCAUCUCGUAGAACAAGACGGCCGAAGAUAUAUAUCCUGUGGGCGACCUGCGUGCAGGAGCGUAUCCAAUGAUGAUCAUCCGGUGUUGGUGGUGGGUUGGCGAGGGCAGCUAGCUAACUCGGCAGUCGAGGUAGUAGUAGACUAACGGCGGCGGCGAACGGCGGGUAGGUCGAGUGUGACUUUCGAUGCAGAGUGAGAGAGGAAGGAGAGGGAUGAAUGGAUCGAUGCUCAUCGAGCUAGCCAAUCUCGAUCGAACACUAGUGGUGCGCGCGGGCGGAAGUCGGGGAAAAUUCGCUCCCGGCCCCGUACGCGACGAGACGAGCGUGGCGUUUCCUACCGGGGUCGAAGACGGAGGGAGGAGGGGCGGCGGUGGUGGUUCGCGGGGCAGCUGCGGGUUCUGGGGCUGCGACGACUCGUAGGUGAGGGCGUCCUCUCGCGCCACUGGUUCUUCCUGCCGGUCUCAGUCGUCGUCGUCGUCGUCUCCGACCUCACGGGCGCCACGUCGAGGUCGCUGUGGUUCAAGACGAUGAUGUUGUUGAUGUCGUGGUGCGUCGGCGCGGUGAUGACGGCGUGGACGGCGGCGAUGACCUGCGUGCCACCGUGCGAGGCGUUGCACGGGCAGCCGCCCCGUACAGCGGCACGGCCGUUCGCGGCGUUCCGGAGGCGGCUAGGGGUUUGCGGGAGCAGGUUGAGCGACCGCGUCGUCGGCCUGGAAGUCCUGUGCGCGAGGGAGGGCCUGAAGGGUAAGGAGUGGCUGCUGCCGCGGCAGAAGGACGGCGUCAAGCUGGAGUCCGAGCCGGCCAAGGGUACCUGCUGCGGCCGCUGGUGCCUGGUGGAAAUGCUGCCCGAGCGCGGCACCCCACGGACACUGCUCCGCGAGCGAGGGUGGCCGCGAUGCCCUCGCACCCUGCUGAAGCCGCCGGACCUAGAGUGGACCGGUGGCGGCGGUGGGGGCCGCCGGCCGUUGGCUACUAGCCGCAGCAGUACAGUCAAUCGCACAGCGGCCGCGCAAGCUCCGAGGACAAAAUAGUAGCGUCGGAGCUAGCUCCGAUUAAACGUGCCCUUUAACAUGCAGAGGGCACAGUUUGGUCUGUGGAAACUGGUGUGAUCACUAGACUAAUGCAUCGAGCUAGGUAAAGUCCAAUAUAAACGUACAUACCUACACCGAUCGUUCGCGUACUCAUAGGUACGAUCGACAAUUCAUGAAAAGGAGCACCAAAACCCCGAGAUGUAUUUAGAGUCAUGAGGG